rnacentral:rRNA from 1 species
GUCCACGCCGUAAACGAUGGGUGCUAGGUGUGGGGGGUGUCGACUCCCUCCGUGCCGAAGCUAACGCAUUAAGCACCCCGCCUGGGGAGUACGGCCGCAAGGCUAAAACUCAAAGGAAUUGACGGGGGCCCGCACAAGCAGCGGAGCAUGUGGUUUAAUUCGACGCAACGCGAAGAACCUUACCAAGGCUUGACAUGGAUUUGAAAAACGUGGAAACACGUUCCCUCUUCGGAGCAAAUUCACAGGUGGUGCAUGGCUGUCGU